UGGGGAAUAUUGGACAAUGGGCGAAAGCCUGAUCCAGCAAUUCCGCGUGAGCGAAGAAGGCCUUCGGGUUGUAAAGCUCUUUCGGCAGGGACGAUAAUGACGGUACCUGCAGAAGAAGCCCCGGCUAACUCCGUGCCAGCAGCCGCGGUAAUACGGAGGGGGCUAGCGUUGUUCGGAAUCACUGGGCGUAAAGCGCACGUAGGCGGCUUUUCAAGUCAGGGGUGAAAGCCUGGGGCUCAACCUCAGAAUUGCCCUUGAAACUGGAAGGCUUGAAGAUGGGAGAGGUAAGUGGAAUUCCGAGUGUAGAGGUGAAAUUCGUAGAUAUUCGGAAGAACACCAGUGGCGAAGGCGGCUUACUGGACCAUUCUUGACGCUGAGGUGCGAAAGCGUGGGGAGCAAACAG
rnacentral:rRNA from 1 species